CAAAAUUAAAAAUAUUUUAUUUUUUUUCUCUUCAUUAACAUUUUAUUUCCAUAUUAAACCCAACACAAACCCAACUCCAACCCUAUUCCCCUUAUCUCUCCUGCGUCGCGCCCCCUCCCAUCUCACUAUCUCUCUCUCAGAUUUCAUCCCUCUCUCUCUCAGAUUUCAUCCCACCACCAUGAAUACGCAUGGUCCCGCCGCCACAGCCACUUUGCGCCAUCGCCGGAGCCCGGCAGCUCCAUCGCGGCCAACCGCCAUCUUCUCCCUCCUCUCCCUUUUCUUUCUAUCACUUUCUCUCUUCUCACCCAACGCACACACCCAGAUCCGCACUAAAAUUUUCUGAAUCACAGAAUAGAUGGCUGAUCCGGCCCUGCCCAACGCCACGGCGGUCCGCAGUGGCCGCCAACAGCAGAGAAAGAGACAGAGAGUGAGAUCGAGGGGGAGAGCAGAGAGAGAGGUUGAGAGAGGAAGAUCGAGAGGGAGCCUACCUGAGGCAGGGGUGGUGGUGUGACGGAGACAGCGACGGUGACGGAGGGCCUUGCCGGAGGGGCGGAUUUCAGAGAGGAAAAUGGAGGCAGAAAACCCUAGAAUUUGGGCAUUCUUGAGUUAGUUAAGUCCAUAAAAGUAGAAUACUCAGAUUAGAGGAUGCAACUCCUGUGUGACGCUUGAGGUAAAAUAGCUAAAUGUUUGAUGCUUAUAUAAUUGAACACUUAGGAGCGUGGAAUGUGAAUAUAUGAUAGAAAUUGGGAGAUAUUGGGUAUGUUACUAUGUGUUGAGCCAAUUUUGAUUUAUGAAUAAGGGAAGAACUACUUUUUGUAUUGAUUGGAGAAGUUGUGGUGAUUAAUUGUGUUAUAACUUGCUUGCUUUGUGUUGAUGAGUUAAACAUGAGUUAAAUUUCAAGCUAAAGCAUGCUAAUGUGCAAUAAGAUGAUGUAAUUGAGUCCCUAUAGUUUGCAGGAGAGUGCUACUCCAAAAAAGGAAAUUGAUGAAGUAAGGAUAGAGUGGAGUUGGUGAUAAAAAGCAGAGAAGAAAAGGGUAGGCGAGAAGAGUUGGAGUUUCUAAUUCCUUUCAUUUCGUUCCCCUUUUUGUUUAAAAACUGAAAUUCUCUUCUCAUUUCCCUCUUUGGCAGAUCGGAAACCACCGCGGUUCCGCUGCCGCCAUCGCCGAACCCGACCCAGACUCCCAGAAUACAAAUCUCAGCCCAAAAGUAAAAGUAUCAAGAUUCAAAUGUUGGAUGAAAUUUGUGAUGUUGGAUGAAAUUUGUGAUGUUGGAUGUAAUAUUGGAUUAAUAAUGUUUGAAUGAAUGUAUGGAUUUUUAGUAUUAAUAUAUGUAUUUUUAGUUUUCUAUUA